AAAUUGAAGAGUUUGAUCAUGGCUCAGAUUGAACGCUGGCGGCAGGCCUAACACAUGCAAGUCGAGCGGAAACGAGUUAUC
rnacentral:rRNA from 5 species